rnacentral:rRNA from 1 species
AUGAUUGAAUUUAAAAGAUUCCAACGCUGUGCUGAUUGUGUGCAAAUAAUUAGAUGGGUGUGUGAGUUGGAGAAGAGUGUUCGUGCAGGGAGGAAGGUUGAGGAGAAAGAAUUUGUUGUCUUGACAGAGCUGCUUAUGGUGCAGCCGCUGAAACUCGAUGGCAUAGAGGCAGAGGGAAAAGCAAGGGCACAAAGGAAGGCAGAGCUCCCAGGCUGUUCACAGCCGCCACCCUAG